AGUUUGAGGUCGGAGUUAAAGCGCUCGUAGGCCUUGUACGUUUCAAUCUCGACGCGAGCAUGAUUGAUAACAGCUUCGAUAAUGGGCGCUGGCAAAGCAACUUGCGUCUGCCCGGAGGCGUUCGAAGUAGAGGGGCCGUCAAGAUUUUGCCCACCAUUUUCGGCCAAACGCCCAACGUGCUUUAAAAUCGCUUUCAGCUCCUCCUCGCUCUCUAUGGCGCACAUCAGACUCUCGAUGGCCUCUUCCAUGUUAUUUGAUGCAUUCUGUAGGGCCACGCGCGAGUCGUUCUCGUUGAAUCCCAGUUGCAGAAGCUGAGCCAGUUUGGUCGUGUCUACGGUGACCGGAAACCAUGGCGAAGCACCAUUUACAAACACGUGACAUCCAUGAGAUUAUAGUUAAAACAUACUGAUCAAUUCAUGUCAUUGAAUAUAUUCUUGGCCACACUUACCGCUUGGAGGAUAUCAUUAUUAGAGCGCUGCAAGGCGAUAGUGGCCAGUCCGCUCUCGAAUCCCAUGUCAGCAAGGCUGCAGACACUGCGGGGAUUCACCCAGGUGCAAUCUUUGGAAUUGGAGCGCUUCAGGC
ensembl:ncRNA asRNA:CR44374 antisense RNA:CR44374